rnacentral:rRNA from 1 species
UGGGGAAUAUUGGACAAUGGGCGCAAGCCUGAUCCAGCCAUGCCGCGUGAGUGAUGAAGGCCCUAGGGUUGUAAAGCUCUUUCACCGGUGAAGAUAAUGACGGUAACCGGAGAAGAAGCCCCGGCUAACUUCGUGCCAGCAGCCGCGGUAAUACGAAGGGGGCUAGCGUUGUUCGGAUUUACUGGGCGUAAAGCGCACGUAGGCGGACUAUUAAGUCAGGGGUGAAAUCCCGGGGCUCAACCCCGGAACUGCCUUUGAUACUGGUAGUCUUGAGUUCGGGAGAGGUGAGUGGAAUUCCGAGUGUAGAGGUGAAAUUCGUAGAUAUUCGGAGGAACACCAGUAGCGAAGGCGGCUCACUGGCUAGAUACUGUCGCUGAGGUGCGAAAGCGUGGGGAGCAAACAGG